AUACGUUCCCGGGCCUUGUACACACCGCCCGUCACACCACGAAAGUUUGUUGUACCCGAAGUCGGUGCCUUAACCUCGCAAGAGGAGAGAGCCGCCCAAGGUAUGGCCGAUGAUUGGGGUGAAGUCGUAACAAGGUAGCCGUAGGGGAACCUGCGGCUGGAUCACCUCCUUUCUAGGAGAGAAGGGUCCUGGAUGAAGCGCUCCUAUUUAGUCUUGUGAAGGAUCCGAGUGGAAGCCGGGACCGGAGAAAGACCGGGCCUGUAGCUCAGAUGGUGAGAGCGCACGCCUGAUAAGCGUGAGGUCGAUAGUUCGAAUCUAUCCAAGGCCCACCAUCUGCGGGGAUGUAGCUCAGUUGGGAGAGCGCCUGCUUUGCAAGCAGGAGGUCAGCGGUUCGAUCCCGCUCAUCUCCACCACGGAGAAGGGACACGGCCGGAGAGAAAGAGGUCCGGCGGAGAAGG
rnacentral:rRNA from 1 species